GCCCGCGUGAUGAAACCGGUAGACGUACAGGACUCAAAAUCCUGCGGUAGCGAUACCAUGUCGGUUCAAGUCCGACCGCGGGCACCA
rnacentral:tRNA from 1 species